AGUAUACCAAGGGGAGCGAGAGAACCUUCGUUAAGGAAUUAGGCAAAUUUCCCCCGUACGUUCGCAAUAAGGGGGGCCUCUGGUGGUUAGCUUCGGCGAGGCUGCUGGAGGCCGCAGUGAAAUGGCUCUUCCAACUGUUUAACAAAAACACAGGUCUCUGCUAAGUCGAAAGACGAAGUAUAGGGGCUGACGCCUGCCCAGUGCUGGAAGGUUAAGGGGAGAGGUUAGGGGUAACCCGAAGCUUUGAGCCGAAGCCCCAGUGAACGGCGGCCGUAACUAUAACGGUCCUAAGGUAGCGAAAUUCCUUGUCGGGUAAGUUCCGACCCGCACGAAUGGCGUAAUGAGAGGAGCACUGUCUCAACGAGGGACUCGGCGAACAUUGAAGGACGUGUGAAGAUACACGUGACCCGCAGCGGGACAAAAAGACCCCGUGAAGCUUUACUAUAACUUGCCAUUGAGUUAGGGCUAAACUUGUGUAGUAUAGGUGGGAGGCUUUGAAGCUGGGACGCCAGUCUCGGUGGAGCCGCCGUUGAAAUACCACCCUGGUUUAUUCUUGGCUCUAACCUGUCGCCGUUAUCCGGCAUGGGGACAGUGGCUGGUGGGUAGUUUGACUGGGGCGGUCGCCUCCUAAAGAGUAACAGAGGCGCCCAAAGGUUCCCUCAGGCUGAAUGGAAACCAGCCGUUGAGUGUAAAGGCACAAGGGAGCUUGACUGCAAGACAUACGCGUCGCGCAGGUACGAAAGUAGGACUUAGUGAUCCCACGGUUCCGAGUGGAAGGGCCGUGGCUUACCGGAUAAAAGCUACUCCGGGGAUAACAGGGUAGUCUGGUCCAAGAGUUCAUAUCGACGACCAGGUUCGCCACCUCGAUGUCGGCUCAUCACAUCCUGGGGCUGGAUAAGGUCCCAAGGGUUGGGCUGUUCGCCCAUUAAAGUGGUACGUGAGCUGGGUUCAGACCGUCGUGAGACAGGUCGGUCUCUAUCCGCUGUGGGCGCAAGGGAUUUGAGAGAAGCUGUCCCUAGUACGAGAGGACCGGGAUGGACAGACCUCUAGUGUGCCAGUUGUUCCGCCAGGAGCAUCGCUGGGUAGCUACGUCUGGCAGAGAUAACCGCUGAAAGCAUCUAAGUGGGAAACUCGUCUCAAGAUUAGAUCCCUCAUCCGUAUGGAGUAAGACCGCUAGAAGACUACUAGUUUGGUAGGCGGCAGGUGUAAGCAUAGUAAUAUGUUCAGCCAAGCCGUACUAAUGGUCGA
rnacentral:rRNA from 1 species